CUGGGCGGGCGGGACGACCCCCAGUCCCCAGCCCUCACCCCUGCCACAGCACAGACCGCCCGUGCGGGGCGAUGCGGCAGCGGCUGCUCUACUCCUCUGCCGACCCGCAGCAGUGAGAGGCACCGGACGGGGGGCAGCGGGGCCGGGCAGGGACCGGGCCGGGAACGGUGCUGCCUCCGCGGCCUCGCGGGACAGACGGCGGCGGGAGCCGGGGCCGGAACCGGAGCCCGAUUCGGGCAGGAGGAGCCGCAGUGGGAGCCGGGCGUGGUGAGCGGAGAGCGGUGAGCGGAGCUGCCCCGGCCCCAGCAGGGCGGCUGCGGGCAGGAAGGUGCCGCGCUGCCGGUUGCGCCUGAGCCGGAGCAUCCCGGCGGGGUCAGCCGCCUUCAUCUUCCAAGGGAGGUGGGCACUCCGGGUUUGGGGUGGUUUUUUUCCCCCUGCCCUAGUACCCCGUGCGCGUUGUUCGUGCCCUCGGCCGGCAGGGCUGUCCGGCGGCCGGGCGCUGUUGCUCGCACGUCCCGCAGCGCCGGGGCUGCUCCUCCCGCCGUCCGGCACUGGCUGAGACGGGUCCCGGCGGGUUUGGGAAGCCACCGUGAGCUCAGGAGCAGCGCCCGCCGUGCCUCGCCGGUGCUGCUGCUCCGAGAGAGCCUUUUCAGCGGUUUGCCUGUCCUGUGCCGUAACCAAGGGCAUUUGAUUUUCACAAGCGUUUAACUGAGGUGCUUUUCUCAUCAUGCAGACCCUUUAGAUUUGGACGUGAUAACCAACCUGCGCAUUGGACAUUUGGCUUAUAUCCUCAUAUCUUCUUCCUCCUUCCUGAACCAGGGGACUGACUAUGUUCAUUUAAAGGCAAGCAUCCUAGCAUUCCCUGAUCUGCUUAUCCUAUGCUACUCUGACCUUUGCCAGCACUGGAGCUUCCAGGUUCUGACAAAUGGCUGGAGGCAAAGCUUUUUCAAAGUUCCAAAGGAUAUAAUCUUAAAUUGUCCUGGCUUGAGCAGUAAAGGAUAAAUUUGUUCACUGGCUGACUUGUCAUCUCACCGUUGUGAUGGAAAAAUGCUUGCUUAAUAUAAACUCUUUUUAUUCUACUAAAACCUUUGAAUACAAGAUCUGUUGUGAUUUUUAAAACACAAAUCCAGUAAUGUCAGAACCCUACCCUUCAUCUGGAUUUGUAGGAAAUAUGGAAAAUGGGACUUUUCUGGAGCUGUAUCCCACAUCUCUUUCAACCUCAGUGGAUUCAUCACCUGGCCGUUUAUCCAAUGUUUAUGUCUAUGUUUCUAUAUUCCUUAGCCUCUUAGCUUUUCUCCUUUUGUUAUUGAUCAUUGCACUUCAGAGGCUGAAAAACAUAAUUUCUUCCAGUUCCUCCUACCCAGAAUACAAUAGUGAUGCUGGAAGUUCGUUCACUAAUUUAGAGGUUUGCAGUAUUUCUUCCCAGCGCUCUGCUCUCUCAAACCUUUCUUCAUGAAACUAAAUGAAAAGUAAUACAUGGGGAAUGGAAGAGCUCUGUCUAGUUUCUUGGGGAGGUAAUGCAUGCAACAUUCGCCUUAGAAGACUAUUAUGAAGAGGAGGUUUUUUAAGUUUCCUUACUUUUUUUUCCCUUUCCUUUUCUAGUCUUCAUUUCCUCUUUAACUAAUUUUCAUUUUGGACAAUGGAUAAUGAUACUUGAUCAUCAUUUCUUGCCUGUAAUAGUGAUGCUGUCUCUUUCUCACACAUAUAUGGUAUUCAUUAAGAGCAUUCCUGCCAAAUUGUAAUACAGUUUUAACUGGAUGUAUAAUUUUUCUGCCCUAGUUGUGACCCCUUCCUUGGUUUUGUGUCAGUAGUAUGCUGACUAAUUUUCUUUCUCAUUUUUUAAUUAUAUAAGGACUUCUAAGUAAAAUCCCUAUUGCAAAAGUAUAAAAAGAAAUCUGCUUAAAUUAUAAAUAUUAUGAAAAUUUGAAGCUGUUGGUAUUGUUUCUUUUUUUUUCAUUUUCUUGUCUUUUUUGGUAUUUAUUGAUGUUUAUAAAACACAACUAAAAUCCAUUUCUUGAAAAAUAUUGCCUUUGUUUAUUUGUACUCCUAACUCAUUCUGUAUAAAGUCUGUAUUUCAGUUUUUGAGUCUCUGAUUAACUUAGUAAAGCAACUUUAAUAACAAUACUCACUAUCAAAUGUGUGGAGGUAUUUUUAGACCCUGUUGCAGCUCAUUUGCUUAAUGACUUGUUCCUCCAGGGGGCAGCUUUUGCUGCUGAAUCAUAAAUGCCACUCAACUCCUUUGCAUUCUUCACUAAUACUGUAGCUUAUUCUUACUGAAUACCAGGACAAACCAGUGAUUUCUUUUAAAAGACCUGCAUUCAACAAAUAUAGUUUGCAAGGGAAUGGCUCCUAAACUGUCCUUUAGGCACAAGAUAUUUGUACUCAUGUGAGCAUGGCUAGCAGGGACAGAAAUUACUUGUACUGGUGAAGACUCUCUGGGCCAGGUUUUGUCCUGUGAUUUCACAAAUGCUCACUGGAGUGGAGCGGGGACUUGAGGAUCUGCGUUAUGGCCAGGCAGACCUGUGCCCUGACCCUCAGAGCUGUACCUGCAGAGGGUAGGAAAGGAUGGGCAGGAAAAUGGCAGUGGCCCUGUCCCUUUUCUCCAUCAGCAUAAGGAAAGGCCAGAGAUAAGAGGGAGAGAAAUGGUUGAUGUUUCAUCAGUCUCAUUCCUUUUUGCCAUGUCAUAGUUUGGGUUAUGGUUCCCCCAGCCCAAAAUGUAACACAUCACUCAAUUUCUGCAGUAAAAUAACUAGAAGCUUUGUGAACAGGAUUCUUUGGUCAGCUGGGCUUUAAAUCAAGCCAAACAUUCAAAGAAGUGAUUCAGAAUGCCAAGUGUGACCUGCUAGGACUGCAGCGUGAUGCCUUGUUUUCCUUACUGCACUGUGUGAGCACAGCCCCAUCCUGCCACUCAAGCCCAUGCAACUUUUGCUCUCAUGGCAGGAUCCAAGCUGCUGCAGAGACCCAAGGAAGGGUAUGGCGAUGUCACUGCUGCUUCUGUUGCUGACGUAACAGCAGGCACAGCUCUGGGAGAUGGAUUGGUCUUGACAGGAACACAGGGCAGCUGCCCUCUCCUUGCAUGGCAAGCCUACUACCCGGCAGGCUUAGGGGUUAGGGAGCUGCAGAAGACCUCCCAGAUUUAUGCCUCCUGCAAACCUGUCAUUGUGUUCGUCAACAAGACAGACUCUGUCAUUAACUACACAGGCUUUAAAAGAGAAAUUUGGAAAGCCUAGUGUAAAUAUAAUCAUUAGAAAUGCAGCUUCUCAGCCAAACAACACAGAUGAUUCUGGAGUCGGUGUUUUCAAUUUUUAAAAUGACAUAUGGGAUUGUAUAAUCAUCAUGAUUUCAGCUGAGUUGCACCUGUUCUCUUCGGGACAGAUCUGAGUAGAAACAAGUAGGAUCCAACAAAAUAGCAUCAGGAGAAAAGCACCAUGGCAUUUUUGAGGAUUGCUAAGUACCGGUUCUUCAAGGAGAAAAAAAAAGGAAAGAAAAAACAAACCAAUCUUACAACCUGAGCCUCGGUUAAC